UUCCUAAAACAUAGUUUUAAUGCACCAUAUCCCAUUAGAACUUUGCAAUUAAGCCCGCUAGGUCUAGAGUAGUACUGGGAUGGGUGAUCACUCGAGAGGUCCUAGUAUUUUACAUGC
rnacentral:rRNA from 1 species